UCCCUGGUGGCUCAGUGGUAAAGAAUCUGCUUGCAAGGCAGAAGACUCAGGUUCAAUCCCUGUGUUGGGAA
rnacentral:tRNA from 1 species